rnacentral:rRNA from 1 species
GAUGAACGCUGGCGGCGCGCCUAACACAUGCAAGUCGAACGAUUAAAGCACCUUCGGGUGUGUAUAAAGUGGCGAACGGCUGAGUAACACGUGGGCAACCUGCCCCUCUCAUUGGGAUAGCCACGGGAAACCGUGGAUAAUACCGAAUACUUCGAGUCUCCCGCAUGGAAGACUCGAGAAAGCUCCGGCGGAGAGGGAUGGGCCCGCGGCCUGUUAGCUUGUUGGUGGGGUAACGGCCUACCAAGGCAAUGAUGGGUAGCUGGGUUGAGAGACCGACCAGCCAGAUUGGGACUGAGACACGGCCCAGACUCCUACGGGAGGCAGCAGUGGGGAAUCUUGCACAAUGGGCGAAAGCCUGAUGCAGCGACGCCGCGUGCGGGAUGAAGGCCUUCGGGUUGUAAACCGCUUUCAGCAGGGACGAGGCGAAAGUGACGGUACCUGCAGAAGAAGCCCCGGCUAACUACGUGCCAGCAGCCGCGGUAAUACGUAGGGGGCAAGCGUUAUCCGGAUUCAUUGGGCGUAAAGCGCUCGUAGGCGGUCUGUUAGGUCGGGAGUUAAAUCCGGGGGCUCAACCCCCGUUCGCUCCCGAUACCGGCAGACUUGAGUUUGGUAGGGGAAGGUGGAAUUCCUAGUGUAGCGGUGGAAUGCGCAGAUAUUAGGAAGAACACCAGUGGCGAAGGCGGCCUUCUGGGCCAUAACUGACGCUGAGGAGCGAAAGCUAGGGGAGCAAACAGG